AUUGAACGCUGGCGGCAUGCCUAACACAUGCAAGUCGAGCGAGCGGCGGACGGGUGAGUAAUGUCUGGGAACCUGCCUGAUGGGGGGGGAUAACUACUGGAAACGGUAGCUAAUCCCGCAUACCAUCAGAUGUGCCCAGGUGGGCUUAGCUAGUAGGUGGGGUAACGGCUCACCUAGGCGACGAUCCCUUGCUGGUCUGGGAGGAUGACCAGCCACACUGGAACGGAGACACGGCCCAGACUCCUACGGGAGGCAGCAGUGGGGAAUAUUGCACAAUGGGCGAAAGCCUGAUGCAGCCAUGCCGCGUGUGUGAAGAAGGCCUUCGGGUUGUAAAGCACUUUCAGCGGGGAGGCGUUACCCGCAGAAGAAGCACCGGCUAACUCCGUGCCAGCAGCCGCGGUAAUAC
rnacentral:rRNA from 1 species